rnacentral:rRNA from 1 species
ACCAGUUGUCCCGCCAGGGGCACCGCUGGAUAGCCACGUUCGGUCAGGAUAACCGCUGAAAGCAUCUAAGCGGGAAACCUUCUCCAAGAUCAGGUUUCUCACCCACUUGGUGGGAUAAGGCCCCCCGCAGAACACGGGUUCAAUAGGUCAGACCUGGAAGCUCAGUAAUGGGUGUAGGGAACUGGUGCUAACCGGCCGAAAACUUACAACACCC